AUGUUUUAUUUCUGAUGUCAGUCCUUCAAUGUUCAUCCCUUUGUUUAUCCUGGUUUUCCUUUGUAAAUGUUUUACCUUUUACUUAAACAUGCCUGCGUUGUGUUCUGCUUUUUGGUCCACCUGCCUGAAUAACAGUGACAUGUCCUGCAGUUAGAUCCGGAAUUCCUCAGUUUGUCUUCAAUCCCAGAGGAGUUGGGGGAUAACUCGGCCGGAUCAAAGAAUUUGAAUGAAUCAUUCUGUAGUCUUUGGGCCUUUAGCUCCAGGGAGAGUUACAGCCUGAUUGGAUUUUCCACAUUCAGGAGCAAUCCUCCAUAAUGUCACUGACACCUCACUAAAGCAACACUGUCAUAGUCUGUUAUCUGGUUCAAUAUUCUCCUAUUGGCACUUUCCUGUCGGUGUAGAGCAGGGGGCAUGCCAGCAAAAUGUGACACGCACAGGAAUAUUCCCCUUGUUAUUUCCAGCCAGCAAGAACAGGAGAAAAAAAAUGACUGACAGAAAUACCAGGCAGCCUCUCUCUGCAGGGGGUCGACUGUAACAGCAUUUUGUUACAGGCAGUAUUACAGAGUACCAUAACAAACUGUUGGAUCAACAAGAACGACAGCGCUUCAUCAAUUAUGCUCAGAGACUCAACAUGCAGGCUUAUUGAGUCUCAUGGGAAAACUCAGUCUGUUCGCUUAGUUUGUUUGUUUGGUGAUCCAUAUCAGCUUAUAAUAGAAGACUGUUGUAUUUUCUUUGCAAGACUUGGAAACCUUUGACAUUUUUUAAAAAUUCACUUGAUAAGUGAACUGCUUUUGGUAGAAAAUGUACACCCUGAAUUUUUGCAACUUUAAAAUGACACAUUGUCUACAUAGAUGGAAUGAAAUAGUCUGAUUUCCCCAUCUUGCAUUUAUUCACCCGGAAAAUUCGGCAAGCCUAAAAAAGCAAAUGAAAGCUCUCCUGGAGAUUAUUCACAGCACUCAGUCAAUUGUACUUAUGUUACCUUAUCAGUUUCUCUCUGUUAGUUUUUCUCCCUGAUCAUAAAACAUAAUGUCUUAUCCCUUUUAUAAGAUAUAAAAUAAUGCUAUCUCAUAGGGCAAAACUUCAUUAUGUAGCUCCAAGACUUCAAUAGUCUGAUGGGAUUUUUAUACGUUUUUGCAAAUGGCUUUACAUUUCCCUGCAAACAUCUAAGUUUUAAUAGGGAGCUUAUAACUUUUCUACACUAAAACUACUGACACUUUGCUGCUUCUCUCAAAGAAAUAUAUAAUAAAACCAUGCUCAUGCAGAGCAAGCAUUACAUUCAAAGUGCCUUAUUAACUAAACAGGUGCACUACCAAUUUUCAUUUGUAAGACAUUAAAGAAGCUUCGGUAUCUCUGUUUAUGCUGACCUAACGUUAUUGUUAGGAACAACGGGAGGAAUCCGUAUAAAUAAAAAAAUACUUUAAGAGUGUUUUGCAUCUUUCACACGACCUACUAUCAGUGUCUGCAGCAGAAAUUAAUUGAUGAGGGAGUAAGAGUGAUCUGACUGUACGGGGGCUUUGCUCUCUCUUUUUGUUCCAUAAUGUAUCCCAUAUUACAACAUUCACACAGCAGGAUAUCAGAGGGAUGGUAGAGUAUGUAAUAAUGUAAAAAUGUUGCAAGGCUUUUUAAAUAAAAAAUGGGAUAUCUGCCAGUC